GGCCUCGUAGCUCAGUUGGUAAGAGUGUUGCCUGGGCUAAAGGUUUCUCCUUACUGGCGUGGGUUCGAAUCCCACUGAGGCCA
rnacentral:tRNA from 1 species